AACAAAUCGAAAGGCACCGGAACGCAGACAAAUAGAUCGCGAGAGAAAGUAGAUAAAUCGCAUAAUUUCACAUCACAAAAACGAUAAUAUAGGCAAUCUUGAGCAUCGGGGCAACUCGUCACUUCAUCAAAACGGACCUGCUGCAGGCUGACCACGUAACGGCGGGAACGAUAUGUGAUGCACCAGCAUCAUCGGAGGCAGGCAGAGAUCUUCUACAUGAAACAUUUUAUAGCCGUGCCUCAUUUGACUGCUGUUAGGUGCGAACGAUGGAUAAUGCGCACGGGCACAACAGGAGACGAUUGCUGUGUAACUGUGUUUAUGUGUACAUGUAGGAAGCCGUGUAUAUGUUUCUGCAUAAAUAUGUUGAAAUAUGGUAAGAACAAGAAAAAAACGAGGCGUUCAGACAACAAAACGAUCGAAAAGAGCCGCCGCGAUACUGAUCAUAAUGAUCCAGUGGCAAUGGCCAGUCGUUCCGUUCAUCGAUGCGAUGUCCGAACGAUGAUAAUAAACCAUCUCGGAUAUAUGGUAUAUACCAUAUGUGCUCAGAUAUAUAGUAUAUACGGGACAUUGUGCUUACGACGUGCAUUUUUAGAACAAGAUUCCCUUCCGCAAGAUGCAUUGGAGAUAAAAACGUGGCAUUGGCCAACGAUUUUUAGGACACAAUAAUAAGGUUGUUGUUACAGAUUGUUAUUACAUUUCGUUGACGUUAUGGAUACUCCGUCGUCUAACACUGUGUCUCGUUGUUACCGCCGCCGUUAUUGUUAUGCCCGUUGUCAUGCCAUGCCAAAUUGUAUAUGCAAACAAGAUCAUUUACGCCAACUGUUACCAUCUUUUCUGGUCGAUCCUUCGUUUCGUUACUGGUUCUUCGCGAGUCAGCUCGCUCAGCCACUUCGCUCUGGACCCGUUGAGGCUUCGCUGUUUAUCUUAACGACAUAAGAAUAGCAUUGACACAAGGACGCAAAUAUAGAUACGAUGGUAGGCGUCUGACGACGUACAGCGCUCACCGAUCGCCGCAUAUUUCCAUACAACCGUAUUUGCAAUUGGAACCGCCUGCUUACGCUUCAGAGCUGUGCUUAUCCAGUUUUCUGAAGGAAAUGACAAAAGCAGCAAUAUUGAUCCGGGUUCUUAUCAUUACCAACACUGUUACUAUUAGAAUUAAAUGGUUAUUGUGAUCAGUCUACUUGAUGUUUCGGAUCCUGUCACACACACACACACGUUCUUGUUACAGCCGGCGGGCGACACGGGUAUGGAGCGCACGAAAUGGUCACUAAGAGAUAUUGUCACCUGAUCAAUGAUAAUUGUAUUACACUCGAUCGGAUAUAUUACCCGGACAAAACUUACCAGCGUUGUUAUUCGCUCUUCCUUUGUAAACUUCUAACCGACCACUAAAUAUAUUAAGACGAUAUAAAAGUGUGACCUGGCACGAAGCGGAAACAAGUACCGAAGAGAAAUAUGAUUCACGAAGGCCCUUUUAUUUACAUAAACAGCCUGCGACGCUGGUCAUGAUCGUGACACAAUUGUGCGUUAACGCGAUAAAUAGACAUUAUUCAACGGGUCGCUUGGAAUCGUGGAAGCAUGAGCUGAGAGCACGUGCAUGUGACAGUAGAUUGAGUGACUCUAAAUUGGAUUAUACCGACGAAACUCUGAUUGAGAUCUACAUCUAUCGGCCGUAGUAAUUCUGGGUCGAUAGAAAGUUUCAAAAUGAUUCAGGACAGGUAGCCGGCAGUGGCUUUUUGCUUUGUUUGACGCCUCAGCCCCCCGAACUCGGGCAUAUGCAGCUGGAAAACAAUAAAUGUAUGAGUUAAAUCAUCGAACGGUUUGACAAUAAAAUUUGUCCUAAGCUCA
rnacentral:lncRNA from 1 species